UGUCAUCAUAGAAUCUAGUGCGUCCACCGCACGCCUCUUGCGGAUGGAUGACUACGACUUAGCGAGGUGGCCGAGGGCAUUGAGUCCGGUCUUCUUCUCCGUAAGCUGGGGCUUGGAACGCCGGUCAACAAAGGCAAGCUGCCACGGGGAUCAGCCGGACGCAGCAGCUGUGAGUACCCACGUGGCCUUGCUUGCUCUUCACGUUCGCUCGGUGCCGGGCUUUUGACUUUUCCCCCCUGCGACCUGCGACCCCCUCCCGCGACGCAAAAGAUCAGGCGGCCGGUCGAGAAGCAGACAAGGGGAGCCAUAUUUUUCUGAUUUCUCAUCUACAAAUUUUCAGGGAGGAUAGGAUACAACGAGACGCCGCCUGGGCGUUCGAAGAAGAAAAAAUCAAUCAAAUCAAAAAUGGGAAGCCCGAACCCUAGAUGCCAGAUAUUCACAGACAUGCAGCAGGUAUUCGCAGAGCCCCGCUGUCCAGGCGCGGCGGCGCCCGCAAUCCGGCCUCUUCCUAUACAGUUUGCUGCGGGCAAGAAGAAGAGGAAGAAGAAGGACCUCACGAGGCGUAGAGGUUAUUGUGCACCUUCUGCUUGCGGUGGUGUUGGCCGGACUUGGCCUCCCGCCGCGCGGUGUAGCCUACGGUGGUGACCCUCAAGGACCUCUGUCUCACCAUCUGGCAGUACUCUGGGUCGUCGCACUGGCCCUCGUGGCGCAGCCACUGGAUCAUGCCGUGGUACAUGGGGAAGAACCUCAUCCUGAUGGCCGCGUAGGCGAAGUAGGGAAUGAGCGUGGCCACCACGACGAGGAGCGUCAGGACCCAGUAGGCAGGCGCGGGGGCCAGCCCCUCGGCGAAGACCUUGAAGGCGGUGGUGGAGAUGGAGGGCGUGAUGGCGCCGUAGGCGAGCAUGAAGAGGUACCAGGUGGCUAUGCUGCCCCACACGAAGACGUGCUGAAUCAGCGUGAAGUAGCUGAUGGAGAGCGCCAUCUGGCAGUUGACCACCCAGACGACGCAGGUGUACAUCACGGCACCGAAGAUGUCGCGGCUGAUGACCUCGCCGCCCUUCCGGAAGGCCUGGUGCUCCAGCGCCGCCGCGCAGAAGAAGAAGAUGACGACGGCGUUGCAGACCCCGUUCAGCAUCCACCCGAUGAUCCGCCGCCACCGGAAGAGCACGUUCUGCACGCCUUCCUGGUACAGCAUGGGGAACUGCGCCCGACCACCCAGGUUAUUCAUUCAUUCAUUCAUUCGGCCCGCUAAAAUCGAAUCAAAAGCGCAGGGCGGGGCCUCUCGAUUGAGUUGAGCAGCGGCGGCGGCGUACCUUGAGGCAGUAGCGGGCGGAGACGUCCUGGUCGAAGACGCCGAGGGCGAUGGCCGGCAGCGAGGUGAAGAAGACGUUGUAGAAGGACAUGAACCAGUCGUUGUAG
rnacentral:lncRNA from 1 species